rnacentral:lncRNA from 1 species
UACUAACCUUCAUGAAUAGUAAGAGCAAUAUAGAUUUUACGUUUCCCUAUACAUAUCCAUCACCCAUCGGACUAAUUUGAAUAAAUGAUUUCAUUUAAAGAUGUAAAUUGUUCUUCUUGGAAAUUCAGUUUCUUAGUCGUACCCUCGUCCCCUCCCCUCCCCCCUACAGUUAUAAUCUAUUGUUUUUUUCCAUAUCAAAGUCAAUUCAUUAACAAUUUAUGCUUCUAGCAUUGAGUUUUUGCCACCAGAAAGACAGUUAACUGCUCCGAGUCAUAGGGUUCUAUAAAAGUUGAAAUUUCUUAUUUUAGCAACUGCAUUCUUUGUUCUCGACAUCCUGCACAUCCUAACAUCAAUAUAGUCUAUGGAAAUUGCCAGCUUGCAAUGAACAAGGUAAUGGAAUUUUCUUACCGGGCAACUGGAUUCUGCUGCUGAUGAAUUAAUUGUCCUAUUUUAUAAUGAAUCCUAUUUUGACCGAGAACUUCAAUAUCAGAUUAACGUUGCCUAAUGCCUCAAAAUUGCCUUUCUUGUCAAUAAGUGAACAAAUCAUUUGAGACUUGCAUAAAUUUAGGUACACUAAAUGAACUGAAAAUUAACCCACGAAAUAGCAAGAUAAGUAAACAAAAAUAUAGAAGUUGCUUACCAGUGAUUUGAAGGUAAUUACUCUAACAACGAAAAGCAAAAGCUGAACUGUGGCAAUCCCAUCUUUAAUUUGAUUUAUGAGGUUAUGGCAAUCCCAUCUUUAAUUUAUCUACUUCAUGUUUAUUUGUUUGGAUAAAUUUCCUCUAGGGAAUACAUCCGGAUACUUUUAGUGAUAAGUAGGGGGGAGCUCAAAGAGUCUGAAGAGUCUGUUAUGAGAGCAGUGGCUAAUAGAACUGAUGCGCCUCUUAAGCUUUUCAAAAUUUUCCAAGUUAUAAUAAAAAUAUUCAUUAGGUUAGUUUAUAGUUGUUAUGUACAUUUUCAUCUUUAGCAACAUAGUAGUUUCUAUAAUCACAGCGUACCCUUUAAUAAAUUCAUUUUUUGAUAUCAUAGCUAGUUUAAACAAUAUUCUUUUUUGAGCUUCAUGAAUUCUAUUUUUGUAUUGUACUAUUAUUCUCCUGUGAAUGUUGUAAAAAUAUAAUUGUUCUCCAUCAAUGCUUGCAAUAUCAAUAAUCAAUGCUAAUCAAUUUUAAUGGAAUAUCAAUCAUCUUCCUACAUGUAUUGUGUAUAGCAAUUAUAUCUCCUCCAACAUUUGAAGCUAUCUUAUCCUUUUAAAGAAGAAAUAGAUUGCUCAUUUAGGUAGUGUGUACAAAGCUUUUGACUAUGAAUGGAGUUUUUGAUUCUAAUACUUUAUGAGUUUUUCAUGCUUGAGGCACGUGUUUAUUGAACUAUAAAUGAUGUUUGUUGCCUUUUCCAGACAUGCUUGACUUCUUACUUUGUAGAGUAGAAUUACAGCUUGCUCCCAGCAAUCUUAUUCAUUAGACUGUGUUCUCAUGGAAGCAGAGUACUAGGUAUGACAUUCAGGAGACUUACUCUAUUCUACUUUCCUUUCAAUAUGAAUAUUAUGCUCUCACACAUUUGCUUGUGUUGCAAAUUACCAAGUUUAGUUCACAAUUUGAAUUGUCGUUGUUCAAUAUUUGAUAGUAUCAUAAUCGACAAAGAAUGGCUACAAUUAUCAAGGUUAUUGUCUGAAAUAAAAUCUUAUAAAUCUAGUUUCAAAAUUUAAACAAUAAUAUAAAAUGAUCAUACAAUUGUUGUUGUAGAUUUUCAGAAAAAUACAGAGAUGGAGCAUGGAAGUUUGUAGAACUAGCUCAUGAAACUCUAAAUUUAGAAAUGAUAGGAUGCCCUUGUAUCAAGUGUAGGAAUCUAAAGCAUCACAAUUAUGAAAUAGUGUAUGAACAUUUAAUUAUUAAGGGUAUGGAUCCUACAUACACUGAUUGGGUAUUUCAUGGAGAAAUACCAAGUAAAUCAAAUUUGAUCGACGUAGAAAUGCCCAAGUCAUGUAGGAUGUUUAGAGACUUCUAUAAGCAACAUGAUGUAGAUUCUGAAAAUCCUCAUGAUGGAACAGAGGAAGAUAUUCAACGUUUAGUUAGCGAUGCGGAAACCCCUUUGUAUCCUUAUUGUAUGGCGUUUACGAAGAUGUCAGUUUCAAUUGCUAUGUUUAAAUAUAAAGCUACACAUGAUUUAUCAGAUAGUAGUUUCGAUGAACUCAUAAAUCUUGUGCGGGAUAUGCUACCACAGAAUAAUACACUUCCUAACUCAUUUUAUGAGAUGAAAAAAUUUAUCAAUACAUUUAAUCUUGGCUAGGAAAAGAUACAUGAUUGCUUGAAUGAUUGUUGUCUAUAUAGGAAGGAGCUUGAACGUGCUGAAUUAUGUCCAAAAUGUGGUUGCUCAAGAUGGAAAGUUAACCAACAAACUAAGAAAGUUCAAAAAAAAAAUUUCAGCAAAAGUCUUGCAUUAUUUUCCUAUCAUACCAAGACUUAAGAAGAUGUUUGGAAUAGAAGAGAUGGCAAAACAACUUAGAUGGCACUCAAAUAAUAAUAGGUAAAAUGAGGCAUCCGAUUGACUCACUGGGGUGGGAAAUGAUAAAUAGAAGGUGGCCACAUUUUGCGUCAGAUCCUCGAAAUAUUAGAUUAGGUCUUGCUACCGGUGGAUUCAAUCCUUUCAAAGAUCUUAGCUCUAAAUAUAGUUGUUGGUCAGUUAUUUUUACUAUAUACAACUUGCCUCCCUCAUCAUGCAUGUCGAAGGAAAGUUUGAUGUUGAGUUUAUUAAUCCCGAGACCAAAAUAGCUAGGUAAUGACAUAGAUGUUUAUUUGGCAACAAUUAUAGACGAUUUAAUAUUGUUAUGGAGUGAUGGGGUUGAGAUGUAUGAUGCAGUUGCGAAGUCUACAUUUAACUUAAAAGCUAUUUUGAUGUGGACAAUACAUGACUUACCUGCAUAGGAAAAUGUAUUUGGAUGGCCCAUUAAAGGAAAAAUUGCAUGUCUUAUUUGUCGUGAACAUAUAUUUUUAGUAUGGUUGUCACAUUGUAGGAAGUUAGCAUACAUGGGACAUAGAAGAUUUCUUGCAUUGAGUCAUCCAUUUCGCAUGACAAGGAGCUGGUCUGAUGGACAUAUUGAAAAUGGCAUUAGGCCAAAGAUAAAAAUUGGUGAAGACGAUUCCAGUGAAGUUGAUAAAAUUGCAAAUGAUUGGGGCAAAAGUGGUAAGCGAAAGAGAAAGAAGAAUACGACUCAAUCCAAUGGAACGUGGAAGAAAAAGUCAAUAUUUUUCAAACUACCAUAUUGGAAGGUAACUCUAGUUAUAUCAUUUCCUUUUUUUAAUACAUCUAAUUGCGUGUAUUAUCUCAUGACAUAAGUGAUCUUUCAUUUGCAGACUUUGCUUAUACGUCAUAAUUUGAAUGUGAUGCAUGUGGAAAAGAAUAUUUGUGAGAACAUCAUUAAUGCACUUUUGAGUGUGAAAGGAAAAUCGAAAGAUGGCAUUAACUAUCGUAAGGGCUUGGAAUUUAUAAAUAUUAGACAUGAUAUAUAUCCUGAGAGUAGAGAAAAUAAAAUUUACUUACCUGCAGCUCCUCACACUUUAUCAAAAGCAGAAAAACAAAUGUUUUGCAAAAGGCUUGCUAACUUGAGAUUACCUGAUGGUUAUGGUUCUAAUAUUGGAAAUUGCAUUUUAGUGGAAGAAUGUAAGAUAGUUGGACUCAAGUCUCAUGAUUGUCACCUUUUAAUGCAACAAUUACUAUCGAUUGCAUUGAGAUGACUUCUUCCUAAAGGACGAAGAAACUCCAUUUUUAGAUUGUGUUCAUUUUUCAAUGAAAUAUAUCAAGGAGUUGUAGAUAGGAAUAAGGUUGAAAUUUUAGAAAAGGAUGUUUCUGAAACUUUGUGCAUAUUAGAAAGGUAUUUUUCGCCUUCCUUUUUCGAUAUAAUGGUUCAUUUAACAAUUCAUACUGGAAGAGAAGUUCGUCUAUGUGGAUUAGUUCAGUAUCGUUGGAUGUACCCAUUUGAGAGGUAGUACUCCUUAUUCCCAGAAAUUAAAUUCACUAUCAAAUGGAUUUCUAUUUUAUUACGUUUUUUGAAAAUAUGUAGGUAUAUGAAGGUGUUGAAAUGAUACGUUAUGAAUUGUGCAAGACCUGAAGGGUGUAUAGCUGAACGAUAUAUUGUUGAAGAAAAUGCGAUGUUUUGUAGCAAAUACAUAAAACAAGCAUCUGAAAUAGGCUCUAAGCCUACAUGCAAUGAAGAGUAUGAGAGUGACUCUUAGUUGUAGGGAGUCCAAUUUCUAAAGAGAAGCCACUUGUACUAUCUGAUGAGAUGCUGAAAGUUGCCCAUCGUUAUGUAUUGCUAAAUAGUGUAGAAGUGGCUCCAUAAGUACAUUAUGUUUGUGAAGUAUAUACUUUUUUGAGAUUUUAAGUUCUUUGUGAUUUCUUGAUAUAUUAUUUUUUACUUAGGAUGCAUAUGGAUGAAAUCAAGAGUUCUGACAAAUGAUUUGGAAGAAAUGAGAAUUUGUUGCAUAAGAAACAUAUUGACACAUUUACUACCUGGCUGCACAAUAAGGUUGAAGUACAUAUAUCGACAAGAUUAGUAUUUAAUUCUGUUGUUUAUUCUUUUAUUCCUGACAUGUUUAUAAUAAUAACAUAUUACAGGCCAAUUGUUGCUGGACAAUAUUUCAAAUACUUUGAAGUAGCUUGCAUGUGGCCCUAGAUGUCAGUCCAUGUCAUAUUCUAGUUUUGUAAUAAAUGGAUUUCGAUUUUACACUAAAGAUGCUGAAAACUCUCACCAAAACAGUGACAUCUUAGUUGAAGCAACAACCAUAUGUAGAUCUAGUGCAAAAUAUAAUGCACAUGAUGUUAGGAAAGUUUUUUAUUAUGGAGUUUUACGCUAUAUUAUAAUGCUUGACUACAAUACAUUUCAUAUUCCAAUAUUCAAGUGUGAUUGGGCAAAUAUUGUGAAUGGAAUAGAGAAGAAAAAUGGAUUCACUUUUCACAAGGGACAGGGACAAUUUGAAAAUGAUCCUUUCAUUUUGGCAUCAUAGGCGAAACAAGUUUUUUAUUCUACGGAGAACAAAACAUCUAAUUGGUAUGUUGUUUUGCAAGCAUCACCAAGAGACUUUCACGCAUUACAUAUGGAAUGCUAUACUUCUUAUGGGGCAACUAUUCCAUUAGAUGUAACACAACUUGAAAACAAUCAUGAGGAGGAUGAGAAUUUUGCAAGGAUAGAUGUUGAAGACAUAUUAUGUGAUAUAUAAAUUGAUUAGUUUGGUAAAUGUCAUUAUAUAUAUAAUUGUUUAAAUUACAAGUAGUCGAACUUUGAAUCUCAUUCUCUUUCUCUUAUUGUUUGAAGCUUCAUACUCUCUUAAGUAGAUUUUUUGGAACCAGGUGAUAUUAUUAAAUAUACGCAUGAUGGAUAAAGCUAAGGUGAGUGCGUUUCAAUACACUUUUUAAGAUGGUAUCACAAUUUUCUUCUUUAAGUCAAAUAAGCAAGCUUCCAAGAGUUCUAAAAGACGAAGCGCUGCGAUUGCUAUUGCAAUUUGAGAAACAAAUAAGAUACUACAACCUUCUAGUGAACCUACAUAUACCAUGUCUACUCCAAUUACUGGUGAUCAAAACAUGGCUUCGACAAGUGUAGAUGCUAAAAAAAAAAGAAAAGAGGUCCAACUGAUUUGAAAAUGGUUGCUGAAAAUAACUAUAAGAAGAUGGAGCUUGAAUUCAAUCAAUUCAGGCAAGUAGUUGGCCGUAACUCUGAUAAAUUUGUCUGCAUAGCCGAAGCUAUAGUACGGGAAUAUGUGCCAGUUGUUAUUAAAAAUUGGCCUUUAGUGGAUGACAAGAAGAAAAUUGAACUUUGAAAUUUUAUACAGGUACAUUUAUUUAAUAUGAUACUUUUUUAAUUAUUCGUUAUACAUUUUUCGUUUAAAGCUUCACUGCCAUUUUCGUUCAAAGCUUGACACCAUUUUUUAUAUUUAUGAUAAAUAUAGCAAAGAUUCAAUGUUAGUGACUGCCAUAAAAAAAUGACAUUUCAAUGUAUGGGAACAUAUUGGAGGACAUUCAAAUCAAGAUUGAGAAAAGAAAUCAAACAUCAAGUACCAUCUACUGUGAAUAGAAAAUGCGCUAUUGCCCUUCUUAGACC